GACGAACGCUGGCGGCGUGCCUAAUACAUGCAAGUAGAACGCACAGUUUAUACCGUAGCUUGCUACACCAUAGACUGUGAGUUGCGAACGGGUGAGUAACGCGUAGGUAACCUGCCUGGUAGCGGGGGAUAACUAUUGGAAACGAUAGCUAAUACCGCAUAAUAUUAAUUAUUGCAUGAUAAUUGAUUGAAAGGUGCAAAUGCAUCACUACCAGAUGGACCUGCGUUGUAUUAGCUAGUAGGUGAGGUAACGGCUCACCUAGGCGACGAUACAUAGCCGACCUGAGAGGGUGAUCGGCCACACUGGGACUGAGACACGGCCCAGACUCCUACGGGAGGCAGCAGUAGGGAAUCUUCGGCAAUGGACGAAAGUCUGACCGAGCAACGCCGCGUGAGUGAAGAAGGUUUUCGGAUCGUAAAGCUCUGUUGUAAGAGAAGAACGGGUGUGAGAGUGGAAAGUUCACACUGUGACGGUAUCUUACCAGAAAGGGACGGCUAACUACGUGCCAGCAGCCGCGGUAAUACGUAGGUCCCGAGCGUUGUCCGGAUUUAUUGGGCGUAAAGCGAGCGCAGGCGGUUAGAUAAGUCUGAAGUUAAAGGCUGUGGCUUAACCAUAGUACGCUUUGGAAACUGUUUAACUUGAGUGCAGAAGGGGAGAGUGGAAUUCCAUGUGUAGCGGUGAAAUGCGUAGAUAUAUGGAGGAACACCGGUGGCGAAAGCGGCUCUCUGGUCUGUAACUGACGCUGAGGCUCGAAAGCGUGAGACCGAACAGG
rnacentral:rRNA from 1 species